CCUACGGGUGGCAGCAGUGAGGAAUAUUGGUCAAUGGACGAGAGUCUGAACCAGCCAAGUAGCGUGAAGGAUGACUGCCCUAUGGGUUGUAAACUUCUUUUAUAAAGGAAUAAAACGAGGCACGUGUGCCUUUUUGCAUGUACUUUAUGAAUAAGGAUCGGCUAACUCCGUGCCAGCAGCCGCGGUAAUACGGAGGAUCCGAGCGUUAUCCGGAUUUAUUGGGUUUAAAGGGAGCGUAGAUGGGUUGUUAAGUCAGUUGUGAAAGUUUGCGGCUCAACCGUAAAAUUGCAAUUGAUACUGGCAGUCUUGAGUACAGGUGAGGUAGGCGGAAUUCGUGGUGUAGCGGUGAAAUGCUUAGAUAUCACGAAGAACCCCGAUUGCGAAGGCAGCUUACUAAACUGUGACUGACGUUGAUGCUCGAAAGUGUGGGUAUCGAACAGGAUUAGAUACCCUGGUAGUC
rnacentral:rRNA from 1 species